rnacentral:rRNA from 1 species
UACAGAGGUCUCAAGCGUUGUUCGGAUUCAUUGGGCGUAAAGGGUGCGUAGGCGGCGCGGUAAGUCGGGUGUGAAAUCUCGGAGCUUAACUCCGAAACUGCAUUCGAUACUGCCGUGCUUGAGGACUGGAGAGGAGACUGGAAUUUACGGUGUAGCGGUGAAAUGCGUAGAUAUCGUAAGGAAGACCAGUGGCGAAGGCGGGUCUCUGGACAGUCCUGACGCUGAGGCACGAAGGUCAGGGGAGCAAACGG